AACGGGUGAGUAACGCGUGAGGAACCUGCCUCAAANAGGGGACAACAGUUGGAAACGACUGCUAAUACCGCAUAAGCCCACGGGUCGGCAUCGACCAGAGGGAAAAGGAGCAAUCCGCUUUGAGAUGGUCUCGCGUCCGAUUAGCUAGUUGGUGAGGUAAUGGCCCACCAAGGCGACGAUCGGUAGCCGGACUGAGAGGUUGAACGGCCACAUUGGGACUGAGACACGGCCCAGACUCCUACGGGAGGCAGCAUG
rnacentral:rRNA from 1 species